GGCUUCGUGGUCUAGUGGUAUGAUUCUCGCUUUGGGUUGCUACACCAGAAUGCGAGAGGCCCCGGGUUCGAAUCCCGGCGAAGCCC